rnacentral:lncRNA from 1 species
UCUGUCCUAAAGGAACUCAAAAUUUUAUAAAAAAUAUUAACUGUCUGUAAUAUUGAACUUACCUGGAAAAGUAAAAUAGAGAACCAAGAAUCACAGGACUUCUGCAACAUACAAUGCCUGCUUUUCUUGGAAGCCACAUAUGCUAAAAUCAUCAAUAAGCAGGUCUACUCUUUCUUCAUAUUCAGGUUCAAAUGUUCAUCUUGAAUACUUAGCACAUUCCCCUCUCUGCUGCAAACAAAAUGGAGAAUGAACAAUGAAAACUGGUUCAGGUAAACUUAGUGGAAGACGGGAUAUCUGGGCCUACAGAGAAGUCGGGUAAUUACUUAAAAUGACAACAGCACAGACUGCUUGACAAUCAGGUUCUUGUACCAGGCUUCUGUUCUCAAACUCAUUUUCAAAAAAAUAAUUUUACUUUCUUGGUAAAGACCAAAGCAUAACAAAAUUUAAUAGAGUGCCUCUUUAAAAAGUACCUGUUAAAAGCAAUCACCAUGUUGAAUUAAAAAAUAUUCAUUCUCUAAAUUUGAGGUAUCAACAUUUCUUUACAGUUGUUAGGACCUAAAUUUCCUAAGUAUAAAGUAUUUAAAUUCCUUUUGGUGCAUUUACUCCCAUUGAUAAAAGGAACAAACUGCCAAUUUCAUUCACUUAUGCGGCAAACAUCAAGAUGACAUGUAGAUUCAGGAAUGUUUUAAUAUGUGCAUUGAUUUUUUUUAAAGUACCCUUUUUGAAAACCACUCAUGAAUGGCUUAAAAAUAACCUUCAUCUGAGGCCUAAAUAUGCACAUAAAUAGGCUUUUUGUUUUUACGCCAAAUUUAGUAUAGUACGUCUGUGAUAUAAUGGAAGGUACCCUAGCUUGAAAUCAGAAAAUGUAACACUCUGUGUGACUUGCAUCUUAGGCAAUUUCAACUUUCUAAGCCUGUUUCUACACCUAUUUAAAUGGAGAUAAAAAUUAUGAAGUAACAUGGGAACACACGUGGAAGUGCCUGACAUAUCUCAGAUCUCUUGAGAGCCUCAAGCCAGGGAAAGUGUAUCUGAAGCAGUCAGAUAUCCAAGGUGCAAAUUGUGACUCCAUGGAGCAGGGAACUCAAGAAUACAGAUCUUGCAGCAUCCAUAGCCCUCCCUACUACAGAGAAGUCAGAAGUAUUUAUCUCCCAAACCUUCAGGUAAUAAAUGAUGAACAGCAAAACAUUCCUGGUAACUGAAGUUGUGAUGUCUGUUAUCAUUUGUUUCUAGACGUAUUUCAGGCAUAGUUUUUUGUUCUUUCUCUUUAAAGCAUCACUCUUGUAUGAAAAGAAUUUAAGUAGCACUUACAGAAUACACAAUGGUUAAUUCUUCCAAAAGUCUUAUCUUAAGCUCAUUAAAUGAGAUCAAGGAGGGGAUAUGAUUAACAGAAGUAUAGUAAACAAGGAUGCUGCAGGGAGAAGUUUUCAAUGGAAAACA